CUGGCUGGGAGGGGUCGGCGCGGUUUCUGGCGCGCCACCGGAAGGGCGUUAUCCUGGGGGAACUGAGAGUGGAAACUUUCCUCCCGGGAAAGGAAGAAACCCGACUGGAGAAAGGUAUGGAACAGGCUGACAGAGCUGGAUCCAAAGGGCUCAGAAUGGAGCAACCAAGGUGUAUUCACCUGAUGCUUUGGUCUCCCUAAGCUCUUCCAUAGAAACGAUCAUAUAUCACCUCGGCGAUUGUUUUACGAUUUCUCACUGUGUUUCUCAGAAUGGUCUCAAACUCCUGGCCUCAAGCGAUCCUUCUGCCUGAGCCUCCCAAAGUGCCGGGAUUACAGGCAUGAAUCACUGCACUCAGCCUGUUUUCAACCUUAUAUAAAUGGAAUCCUACUGUAUGUGCUUUUUGAUAUCUGGGCUCCUUUGCUCUAUAUUAUGUCUGUGAGAUUAAUAAACUUGUUUGUUCAGUUACGUUA